AUUGAACGCUGGCGGCAUGCUUUACACAUGCAAGUCGAACGGCAGCGCGGGCUUCGGCCUGGUGGCGAGUGGCGAACGGGUGAGUAAUGCAUCGGAACGUGCCUACUAGUGGGGGAUAGCCCGGCGAAAGCCGGAUUAAUACCGCAUAUGACCUGAGGGGGAAAGCGGGGGACCGAAAGGCCUCGCGCUAUUGGAGCGGCCCGUGCCGUAGUAGCUAGUUGGUGGGGUAAAGGCUUACCAAGGCGACGAUCCGUAUCUGGUCUGAGAGGACGAUCAGCCACACUGGGACUGAGACACGGCCCAGACUCCUGCGGGAGGCAGCAGUGGGGAAUUUUGGACAGUGGGGGCAACCCUGGUCCAGCCGUGCCGCGUGCGGGAAGAAGGCCUGCGGGUGGUGAACCGCUUUUGUUAGGGAAGAAAUCCUAUGGGCUAAUACCCCGGGGGGAUGACGGUACCGGAAGAAUAAGCACCGGCUAACUACGUG
rnacentral:rRNA from 1 species